UACGUAGGUGGCAAGCGUUGUCCGGAUUUACUGGGCGUAAAGGGUGCGUAGGCGGACAUUUAAGUCAGAUGUGAAAUACCCGAGCUUAACUUGGGUGCUGCAUUUGAAACUGGGAGUCUAGAGUGCAGGAGAGGUAAGUGGAAUUCCUAGUGUAGCGGUGAAAUGCGUAGAGAUUAGGAAGAACACCAGUGGCGAAGGCGACUUACUGGACUGUAACUGACGCUGAGGCAUGAAAGCGUGGGGAGCAAACAGG
rnacentral:rRNA from 1 species